CAAUAGGAAGAUUUUGAUAUUGUGCAAUACCUCAUCAUCAGGCUCCCCAUUCAUUAUCAUUUUGUUUUCGAAAACCAUGAUUUUAGUCCUAAAAUUGGCAAGGACAACACCGGCAGAAGACACACGACCUAACUAACGUUAGAUCACCAGCUUUGAUUUGGAGGACGUGUUACGUCACACGCAGGAAAUAGCUAGCUAGAAAGUUCGCCGGAAGAAUGUUUAUUUUCGUUCACUAGAUGGCAACCCUCCAACCAUUUCCAUGCGCUGGGGGAACCAAUGUUCUGAUAUAUUCUGCCCGAUGGCAAGACGGGUUGGAAACAGUGUCGUACACCAACAUGGCAGCGUCUAUGGACACGAGAAUAUGGUUUAGAAAAAUUGAAGAUCUACGGUGUCUAACGGAAUCGCGUGAAAGCAAAAUUGUACGUAUAACGUGUAGACUGGUUUUAGCAACAACAAAAAAUCCACAAAACAAGUUCGCGAAAAAAAAUCUAGCACCCGUUCACUUUGUGUGAGCAGGGUAUUUUUUUCGCGCACAAUUCUAUACCUUCAUAUUUUAAUCAUCACCGGUGAUGGAGUCAACAGAGUGAGAACUGCUUAUUUACUGGCAACAAGGAUGUUACCAAGUUAGUCUCUAAAUUAGCCUAGGGUAUGGGUCCUGGAUCUGCACUAUCCUCUAGGAUGUAUGUGCAUUCUCUGUAAUACACUAGGGACCGGUUUGGACAUAAACCAUACUUUUUUUGGACCUUUAUUUAACUAGACAAGUCAGUUAAGAUAAUUCUUAUUUACAAUGAUGGCCAAACCCGGAAGACGCUGGGCCAAUUAUGCGCCGCCCUAAACCAUCCUCCAUUCAGGUUGAAAAGGAAUAAUUCCAUUCCUUAACUAUAUUUUAAUGGCGAGCCACCGAAAACACAAAAGAAGUGAAAAUCUGUACUGUCUUAAUAAAAUAAAAAAAUCCACCACCAUUUUCUGUUUAUGGACAGUUUGGGAUGUUGCACACGCGGUGCAGAUCUAGUGCUCACUAUCUAAAAGGCACUACAUGGUCAAGCCGCCGUCUGCAUUGGCUGUGCAGCCUCUGCAAAAUCAUGGCAUUCAUGCUUCGCGGAGCAGUGCAGAGCUGUUGUCAAGGAAGAGAGUUUGUUAAUAUUCGGGACUUCCCAUCGCCGCCUUCUCUCAGCCAUUCAUGUCAAUGCUGGAGGUAUAUAGAGCUACAGUUUAUGGAUCCCUCCGCAUUGCUACAUAAUUUCAGAGGCGCACAGCGAUGCGGAAUGGAGCUCCAUUUGACCUCUGCAUGCCUCCAGAGACUCCGCAUUUGCGUCACACAACUCGUAGAUCAAGCAUAAAUUGGCUUUAAACUUAACAUUAAAGGAUCUGCAUUAUUUGGCUGCAUUGCCAUUCCGACAUCUGCAUUGGCCAUGUGGCAUUUAAGUUGAUAUGGCUUCUGCAGAAGUCCGAGCAGAGCAGUCCAGAUUAGUUGUCGAGGAAACAGCGGUGUGUGGGUAAAAUCAUUGGGGAAGCCAUAUUGCAACCUAUGUGUCUAGACAUCAGGAAUGCAAUUACUCACCACAGACUAGCAGAAUCCUCUUUUUCUUUUCAUGACUCUGACGAGCCUGACAAGAAAGAUACGCUGCUUCCUCUGGAACAGGCCCCGAUGCCCGUGAUCUGCGUGAAGAGGAGGCGAAGAAAGGGGCUGAAGGUCCGGCUGCCUUCUGAGAACGCAGGCGAUCGAAUAAACCCCUACUUGCUCACCUGAGAUGUAGGGACUUUGUCAGACAGCCAGUUGGAGAAGAAGCUGUGGAGACACUGCAGGCAGCUGGAUUUCCUUCCCAUGAUAACCCCUCAUCACUCAAGUCUGUUGGUGCCAGUCAGGAUAUGGCUCUUCCUCACCCCAGCACCAAUAUCAAGUGCCCCCCCCCCCCCCCAGUGAAGACAUCUCCAGAUUCCAGCCUUCCAGUAAACAUCCAGAGUGCCUCUGAUUCCAUGAUGAGACCUCAAGAGGAGACGGCUCAGGACAGUGCAGCAACGGUGUUUUGGAACACAGUGUUUUUUACUGCUAUGGACAACAUCAUAAGUGACUUGGACACUAGGUUCCACACCACUGCAAAAAUUGUAGAAUGAUUUUGUGCUGUUCUGAAAGUCGAGCAGAUUAGUGAGGAUAAAGUCCCUUCUGUGUGCCAACCACUGAUCAUGAAGUAUUCCAGAGAUCUUACACCUGAGGUUCAAAAUGAAGACACCUGAACACUGCAUAUGCUGCCACUUUCCCCCCUAACUUGUCCCAUCUUGGUCUCCUGAAUGCAAUUUGUAAGAUGCAGCUGCAAAGCAGUUUUGGAGAAGUGUGCAUUUCUUUACGUAUAUUUUGCACGCUGCCUGUGACUGUUGCUGGUGGCAAGAGCUUUCAGUAAGAUAAAACUACUAAACUAUUUGAGGUCCACCAUGUCCCAGGACAGGCUUUGCAGUAUUGCCAUGCUGUCCAUUGAAAGUCAGUUAGCUAGAAAGCUGGACUUCAAAGACUUGAUCAGUGACUUUGCUAGCAAGACGGCUCAGCGCUGGGCUCUUGGUGAGUAAGGCUGAGCAAGGCCCAGUGAUAACUGGCAUGGCUAUGGAUAUUGGAUCACUACACACAUGAUGCCCACAGGCUGAGAACAGACUGAGAACAAGAUAAAUCUCAAAGCAAUGGCUGGAUUGCCGUAAAAUUUGUUGUGCACAAUCAAGACCCCAAGUACAUGUACAUUUAUUUUAAUUGAACAGGUGAAUGUAUAUUUAAGUUAUAUUUAUUUUAAGUUAUUCAUUAAUGUUAAGAUAAUUUUCCAUUCAAGAAUUAUUCCAUUAAAAUGACAUUUUACUGUAAAAGAUGGCCUUUAGCACAUUUCUUAUAGAGGGUAUCAGUCCUGCAUCAAAUAGUGAAUUCCACUGUAUGCAGAAUGUUGCAGCAUGUCUGCACAGUGUUAUAUUUUCACAGCUCACUGUCAGUAAAUAUAAAACAGUAAAUAUUGGACUACAAGAGAGUCGCAAGCGUGCAAAGGUAGAGUUAUUUAAAGUUUUGAAUGGGUCGAUUGGGUUCUGGAGGUGUGUGGUUACAGCAAUUGCGCAGGGUUGGUGUGGCCUGUGGUGGUGGGGCCCAAUGUGAUAUCUUUUCAUUGGGCCCAAAAUCCCUGGCAGUGCCCCUGCCUGGCGAAGUGGUGCCAGGAAAACAGCCUCUCCCUCAACGUCAACAAAACGAAGGAGCUGAUGGUGGACAACAGGAGACGGCAUAGAGAGCACGCCCCCGUUUACAUCAACAGGGGGUCAAAAGCUUCCUCGGCGUGCACAUCAUUGAUGAACUGAAAUGGUCCCUUCAAACAGUGUGGAGAAGCCGCAACAGUGCCUCUUCAACCUCAGGCUGCAAUCACAGGGCUCUCCAGAGCGUGGUACAUUCAGCACAACGCCUCACUAAGGGCACACUGCCUGCCCUCCAGGACAUAUGCAGCACACAGUGUUGCAGGAAAGACAAGAAUAUCAUCAAGGACCUAAAGCCAACAUAGCCAUGGUCUGUUCACCCUUCUACCGUCUAGAACUGGGAAGGGCAACUGGCAAAAUUUUAUUUUGUGUGGAACUCAGUUGGCAUCUCAACUUACUGUUAGAAUAAUAUAAUUUUUAAAAAUGUGGCUAAUUGACUGCUGAAGCACAACCACAUUUAUAAAUGGCACCUUUUGUAGAUUGGUAAGUUACUCUAGUGGGCAGCUAUCUAAACAUGUAGUAAGCAUGGUCAAAUUUCCGCAGUGGCUUGUGGGUAGGCAGAACGACAAAGCACUGCGGUCCAUCAUGAUGACAUCUGUUUUUUUGUGGCCCCUAACCCCAUCAAAGUUGCCCAUUCUUGAUCUAGAAGUAGGAGACAGUAGAAGUGCAUCAAAGCUCGGAUAGACAAAGAAACAGCUUCUAUCUCCAAGCCAUCAGACUGUUACCACUAGCCGGCCUCCGCCCAGUACCCGGCCCUGAACCUAAGUCACUAGCCGGUUACCACCCGGUACUCUACCCUGCACUCUAGGCUGCUUUGCACUAUAUACAUAGUCAUUGAACACUGGUCACAAUGUUUACAUAAUGUUUAACCCACUUUUUUUCAAGGCACACUUAACCAUCAUGGCUCCCACAGCAUUCUGCAGCGAUAAGCCUUCCCAUCAGCUUUGCGCUUAGUGGGACUAUGUCACGAGAAUUUUCAAUCCCAAUAAUGAUAACUAACAAUCAAUAAGCUUUGACCAAUCCCCGAGGUUUGUAAUACCCUGGGUUUAAUAAUAAUUAGGCAAAGACUCAGCUUAUGCAAAAGGUUUGUACAGUUUAUUCACGAGAGCGCUCUGAAGUCCAUAAUACAAAGACAUCCAUUUAUAACUCACUCCCUAUUUACGCACAUACCUUCACACAAACAGUAGAUAUCCUACGCACAUACAUACACACGAACAGUAGAUGAGUUGUAUCUUUCCCCAUAGUUCUCACCACUGUUUAUCACUACCAAGCCGACAGUUCCAUUCCCCCGAGAUUAGAGGAACCUUGAAAGGACUCCCUGUCCUAUCAUAAGUUUCUCAGAGUUCUAGCCAGGUCGGGUCAAACACAGUUGAAUUGUUCUCUGUAUUUUCUCAGACACACACACACACACAUUUCUCUCCCUCACAUGUCUCUACCAAACCUUAUUGGACUUACGUUUAGUACUUUAGUAAUUCAUUAUACAUGCUACAUAAACUAAUAAUCACUAAUAGUUAUGUUUCAGGGUGGAAUUCUUUAAUCAUUACCUUUUAAGCAUAUAAUUCCCU